UAGAAAUAAAUCUGAACAGGUUGUUGCUGGUCGGAAGACAUGUGCACGCUUGUCCUCUUUAUUUUUCCAACUGUGCACAUAUUGUAGACCUGUGAUGUUGUUUUCUUGUCAAGAGGGAAUGGCCAGGUCUAUGUUACAUUUUAACAACGCGUUUUAGAAUGUCGGGUACUGGGGAUAUAACAAAUAUA
rnacentral:misc_RNA from 1 species